AUUGAACGCUGGCGGCAUGCUUUACACAUGCAAGUCGAACGGUAGCGGGCGGUUCGGUCACGCGGCGAGGCGCACGCGUGAGUGUUAUAACCACGCGGGUACCCUGCCGAGGGGGAACGCAUAGCAAGAGUAGACAAAACCGCAAACCGCAUAUGGCUGCGAACGGGGGGGUUUAAGGCACCACGCGGUCGCAGCGGUCGAUGUCUGAUUAGCUAGUUGGUGGGGUAAAGGGUCACCAAGGCAACGAUCUGUAGCUGGCCUGAGAGGACGACCAGCCACACUGGGACUGAGACACGGCCCAGACUCCUACGGGAGGCAGCAGUGGGGAAUUUUGGACAAUGGGCGCAAGCCUGAUCCAGCAAUGCCGCGUGAGUGAAGAAGGCCUUCGGGUUGUAAACCGCUUUUGUACGGAACGAAAAGGCGCUGGCGAAUACCCCGGGGCAAUGACGGUACCUAAAGAAUAAGCACCGGCUAACUACGUG
rnacentral:rRNA from 1 species